GUGAAUCAUCAAAUCUUUGAACGCAAAUUGCACUCUCUUCUGAGAGGAUGCCUAUUUGAGUGUCAGCCUAAAAAAAUUCGACAUAGUUGCUGUUACGCGGUAACAUUCGUGGGAAAGUGGGUCAUCUUAAACCUUUUGGUUUAAGCGGCUUAAAAUUUUCUUUACUAUUCGAAGAACGUCUCUAAGAUU
rnacentral:misc_RNA from 1 species